GUGGAAGGCGUUCGACUGUUUGGCUGAUCGGGAGUUGCCGUGUUCGCGGACUUCGUUCGGGAGUUUGGCGAUCGGCUGGAUUUAAACUGCAUUUCUGGGGAAGGGGAUUAUUGCCUAAACGGCGGCUUCAUCUACCCGACGGUACGUGUCGUAACAAUUGGUGGCAAGCGACAGGAUGAAUCCUACAGCCCAGAAGGCCAG